AACGAACGCUGGCGGCGUGGAUAAGACAUGCAAGUCGAACGGGAACUUCAGCUGUAGCAAUACAGUUGCAGUUUUAGUGGCGAACGGGUGCGUAACACGUGGGCAAUCUGCCGAGAGGUGGGGGAUAGCUCGCCGAAAGGCGAAUUAAUACCGCAUAUGAUCAGCUAAGACAUCUUAGCGACAUCAAAGCCGGGGCAACCUGGCGCUUUUUGAGGAGCCCGCGGCCUAUCAGCUAGUUGGUGAGGUAACGCUCACCAAGGCUAUGACGGGUAGCUGGUCUGAGAGGACGACCAGUCACACUGGAACUGAGACACGGUCCAGACACCUACGGGUGGCAGCAGUCGAGUAAUUUUUCUCAA
rnacentral:rRNA from 1 species